rnacentral:rRNA from 1 species
AUGGGCAUGAAGAAAUUUAUUAAGGACAGGGUACAGUCUUGUUUAGUUUGUCAGCAAGCUAAACCUGAACGAGUUAAGUAUCCAGGGCUGCUUUCUCCUUUACCAGUUCCAAGCAAGGCAUGGGAAACUGUGACCAUGGAUUUUAUUACUGGAUUACCUCCUUCCUAUCAGUUUGAUUGCAUAUUUGUGGUCAUUGACAAGUUUACAAAAUAUGGGCAUUUCAUGGCCCUCAAACAUCCCUUUUCUGCACAAAAGGUUGCUGAAGUGUUCUUGGACAAUAUAUACAAACUGCAUGGCAUGCCAGAGCACAUUGUAUCUGACAGAGAUCCGGUGUUCACAAGCAAAUUUUGGCAAACUCUUGUUCACAGGACUGGGACUCAGCUUAACAUGAGUACUACAUAUCACCCUGCUACUGAUGGUUAG